rnacentral:lncRNA from 1 species
GAGGUCUGUGAGGACCGGAGCCUAUAAUCAAGAGGACAGAUGUUAAAGCACCAGACAAGAACCAAGAGAAAUGAAAAUGACAGAUUAUGUUUUCAGGAUCAGAGGUUACCAAUUAAAAUUAAAAGUAUUCUUAUAGGACACUUCUCUUAAAAAGAGAAGGCAAAAAAUUGACUCCCUGCAAUCAGAAACUGUCCCAAAAUACUCUACAGCAAGUCUGACACAUGACUUCGGAGAACUUUGCAGCUUGACACCAAAUGAGCUUCUAACUUUCACUGCAGUUGCUAAUACCCAUUUCAAUACCCCUGUUUCAACUAAUUAACCCUUGCACUUUAUUGCUGUUACAAUUAGUGAGUCCCCAAAACAGGAAAGGGUGGUUUAUCUAUUACUCACAAGAUCUACUAAGUGAUUCAACCUCGAGAGAUACAACCAUCACUAGUCUUUACUUAUUGCCAAGUCAUUUUAACUU